rnacentral:rRNA from 1 species
UCCUACGGGGCGCAGCAGUGGGGAAUAUUGCACAAUGGGGGAAACCCUGAUGCAGCGACGCCGCGUGAGUGAAGAAGUAUUUCGGUAUGUAAAGCUCUAUCAGCAGGGAAGAAAAUGACGGUACCUGACUAAGAAGCCCCGGCUAACUACGUGCCAGCAGCCGCGGUAAUACGUAGGGGGCAAGCAUUAUCCGGAUUUACUGGGUGUAAAGGGAGCGUAGACGGCAGCGCAAGUAUGAAGUAAAA